ensembl:lncRNA
CCCAUAGAGCUCAAAAGGGACCCCAUAUACCUCCAUAGUGACCCCAUAGAGCUCCACAGUGACCCCAUAACAGCCCCAUAGUGACCCCAUAGAGCUCCAUAGUGACCCCAUAAAAGCCCCACAGAGACCCCAUAGAGCUCCAUAGUGACCUCAUAACAGCCCCAUAGUGACCCCAUCGAGCCCCAUAGGGACCCCAUAACAGCCCCAUAGCGACCCUAUAGAGCUUAAUAGAGCCCCACAGUGACCUCAUAGAGCCCCAUAGGGACCCCAUAACAGCCCCAUAGCGACCCUAUAGAGCUCAAUAGGGACCCCAUAUACCUCCACGGUGACCCCAUAGAGCCCCAUAGCGACCUCAUAGAGCUCCACAGUGACCCCAUAGAACCCCAUAGUGACCCCAUAACAGCCCCAUAGUGACCCCAUAGAACCCCAUAGUGACCCCAUAGAGCUCCAUAGGGAUAUGGGGAGGUUUGAGGUGGAAGGGUCCUGGAAGGUCACAGAGAUGUGGGGUGGUUGGGGCGGAAGGGUCCUGGAAGGUCACAGCAAUACGGGGUGGUGGGGCUGGAAGGGUCCUGGAAGGUCAUCACUGAAUGGGUUUUAUUGGAAGGGUCCUGGAAGGUCAUCACUGAGUGGAUGGGAUUGGAAAGGUCCUGGAAGGUCAUCACUAAACGGGUUGGACUGGAAGGGUCCUGGAAGGUCAUCACUGAAUGGAUGGGAUUGGAAAGGUCCUGGAAGGUCAUCUCUGAGUGGGUUGGAUUGGAAAGGUCCUGGAAGGUCUCUGGGAGUGGGUUGGAUUGGAAGGGUCCUGGAAGGCCAUCACUGAACGGGUUGGACUGGAAGGGUCCUGGAAGGUCAGUACUGAAUGGAUGGGGUUGGAAAGGUCCUGGAAGGUCAUUACUGAACAGAUUUAAUUAGAAGGGUCCUGGAAGGUCAUUACUGAAUGGAUGGGAUUGGAAAGGUCUUGGAAGGUCAUCACUAUGCGGGUGGGAUUAGAAGGGUCCUGGAAGGUCACUUCUGAGAGGGUUUGAUUAGAAAGGUCCUGGAAGGUCAUCACUGAAUGGGUUUUAUUGGAAGGGUCCUGGAAGGUCAUCACUGAGUGGGUUGGACUGGAAGGGUCCUGGAAGGUCAUCACUGAACGGGUUGGACUGGAAGGGUCCUGGAAGGUCAUCACUGAAUGGAUGGGAUUGGAAAGGUCCUGGAAGGUCAUCACUGAACGGGUUGGACUGGAAGGGUCCUGGAAGGUCAUCACUGAAUGGAUGGGAUUGGAAAGGUCCUGGAAGGUCAUCACUAAAUGGACAUGGUUGGAAGGGUCCUGGAAGGUCAUCACUGAAUGGAUGGGGUUGGAAAGGUCCUGGAAGGUCAUCACUGAAUGGGUUUUAUUGGAAGGGUCCUGGAAGGUCAUCACUGAAUGGAUGGGAUUGGAAAGGUCCUGGAAGGUCAUCACUGAAUGGAUGGGAUUGGAAAGGUCCUGGAAGGUCUCACUAAAUGGGUUUUAUUGGAAGGGUCCUGGAAGGUCAUCACUGAAUGGAUGGGGUUGGAAAGGUCCUGGAAGGUCAUCUCUGAGUGGGUUGGAUUGGAAGGGUCCUGGAAGGUCAUCACUGAAUGGAUGGGAUUGGAAAGGUCCUGUAAGGUCAUCACUGAAUGGAUGGGAUUGGAAGGGUCCUGGAAGGUCAUCACUGAAUGGAUGGGAUUGGAAGGGUCCUGGAAGGUCAUCACUGAAUGGAUGGGGUUGGAAAGGUCCUGGAAGGUCAUCACUGAAUGGGUUUUAUUGGAAGGGUCCUGGAAGGUCAUCACUGAGUGGGUUGGACUGGAAGGGUCCUGGAAGGUCAUCACUGAAUGGAUGGGGUUGGAAAGGUCCUGGAAGGUCAUCACUGAACGGGUUGGACUGGAAGGGUCCUGGAAGGUCAUCACUGAAUGGAUGGGGUUGGAAAGGUCCUGGAAGGUCAUCACUGAACAGAUUUAAUUAGAAGGGUCCUGGAAGGUCAUGACUGAAUGAAUGGGAUUGGAAAG